CCCUGGUAGUCCAAGCUGUAAACGGUGGGCACUAGUUGUGGGAACCUUCCACGGUUUCUGCGACGCAGCUAACGCAUUAAGUGCCCCGCCUGGGGAGUACGGUCGCAAGACUAAAACUCAAAGGAAUUGACGGGGGCCCGCACAAGCAGCGGAGCAUGCGGCUUAAUUCGACGCAACGCGAAGAACCUUACCAAGGCUUGACAUAUAGCGAAAAGUGGCAGAGAUGUCAUGUCCGCAAGGGCGCUAUACAGGUGGUGCAUGGUUGUCGUCAGCUCGUGUCGUGAGAUGUUGGGUUAAGUCCCGCAACGAGCGCAACCCUCGUUCUGUGUUGCCAGCAUUUAGUUGGGGACUCACAGGAGACUGCCGGGGUCAACUCGGAGGAAGAUGGGGAUGACGUCAAAUCAUCAUGCCCCUUAUGUCUUGGGCUGCACGCAUGCUACAAUGGCUGGUACAAAGGGCUGCGAAACCGUAAGGUGGAGCGAAUCCCAAAAAGCCAGUCUCAGUUCGGAUUGGGGUCUGCAACUCGACCCCAUGAAGUCGGAGUUGCUAGUAAUCGCAGAUCAGCAACGCUGCGGUGAAUACGUUCCCGGGCCUUGUACACACCGCCCGUCACAUCACGAAAGUCGGUAACACCCAAAG
rnacentral:rRNA from 1 species